UAAUCUAUAAGAACGGACAACAACUUCAAUAUAUACACACACGAACGUAGAAAGGGAAGGGAACGCUCAUCAUUCUCUGGCUCUAAGAAGCAGCCGCACCCCUUGUCUCUUUGCAAAAAUGCCGAAAUCCGGCGAGUCAUCAGCCACAGGCGAUGCUGCUCUAACACCCAGCGUCCCAUCUCCUCUCCAAGCCACCUCUGCCAUCUCUUAACCCAAACUCGCUGCAAUUCCUCCACACCAGCGUUACACCACCAUCAUAACACCAUUCGUCUUCAAAAACAUUCACAAUAUUUGAUCAAGCAGUCACUCUUCUUAAUCACCAACCAAUUUGUCAUACCUUCAUCACCACUAAAAACUCCAAUAAAAAUAGAGUUUCGUCGCAUGGAGUUUGAUUGAAGUUUCUGUCAGAUUUUUGAAGUUGUAUUUGGAUUUGUUUUCGAUUAGUGUUGGUCAUUUGAGAGUUUGAAGGUGAGUUUGUUGUUGAAGCUCUCCAGUUCGCUGUUUAAGAUCCGAUCCAUGUUUUCGCUUUCCAACAAGAUUUUAACCGGAGUUCGUUGUUGCAUUUUAAUACCUUCGAAGUUGAUGUACCAGAAUUGGAGUUGUUCUUAUUAAUAGUGAAGACAACAUUCUGCUUGAGGCAUGGAUCCAUAUAUCAGAGCUCGAGCAUGACAGAUACCCCAGGACCAUCGCAUUUGGGAGUUUGUUUUUAGAGAUUUUUUAUAUUUUGAGUCUGUUUUCAUGUUUUCUUUUACUUUCUUGUCUUGUCUAGUAGUGUUGAGUAUUUUAGGCGGUUUAAGAUUUUGUCAAGUCUUUUGUUAUCGUACUUCAUGUAUUUGAAAACAUAAAAAAAUUAUAAAUGAAAAAUUCAAAAAGAUUUUUGUUUUUA